rnacentral:rRNA from 1 species
CCUACGGGGGGCAGCAGUGAGGAAUAUUGGUCAAUGGGCUUACGCCUGAACCAGCCAAGUCGCGUGAGGGAAGACUGCCCUAUGGGUUGUAAACCUCUUUUGUCAGGGAGCAACGCCGGCUACGUGUAGCCGGACUGAGAGUACCUGAAGAAAAAGCAUCGGCUAACUCCGUGCCAGCAGCCGCGGUAAUACGGAGGAUGCGAGCGUUAUCCGGAUUUAUGGGGUUUAAAGGGUGCGUAGGCGGAAUGCCAAGUCAGCGGUAAAAUCGCGGGGCUCAACCUCGCUCCGCCGUUGAAACUGGCGUUCUUGAGUGGGCGAGAAGUAUGCGGAAUGCGUGGUGUAGCGGUGAAAUGCAUAGAUAUCACGCAGAACUCCGAUUGCGAAGGCAGCAUACCGGCGCCCAACUGACGCUGAAGCACGAAAGCGUGGGUAUCGAACAGUAUUAGAUACCCUGGUAGUC